CCUACGGGUGGCUGCAGUGGGGAAUAUUGGACAAUGGGGGGAACCCUGAUCCAGCCAUGCCGCGUGUGUGAAGAAGGCCCUCGGGUUGUAAAGCACUUUCAGUGAGGAAGAACGCCUGGUGGUGAAUACCCAUCAGGAAAGACAUCACUCACAGAAGAAGCACCGGCUAACUCCGUGCCAGCAGCCGCGGUAAUACGGAGGGUGCGAGCGUUAAUCGGAAUUACUGGGCGUAAAGCGCGCGUAGGUGGCUUGAUAAGCCGGUUGUGAAAGCCCCGGGCUCAACCUGGGAACGGCAUCCGGAACUGUCAAGCUAGAGUGCAGGAGAGGAAGGUGGAAUGCCCGGUGUAGCGGUGAAAUGCGUAGAGAUCGGGAGGAAUACCAGUGGCGAAGGCGGCCUUCUGGACUAACACUGACACUGAGGUGCGAAAGCGUGGGUAGCAAACAGGAUUAGAUACCCUUGUAGUC
rnacentral:rRNA from 1 species